rnacentral:rRNA from 1 species
UAGGGAAUAUUAGUAAUGGGCGAAAGCCUGAACUAGCAACACCGCGUGUGCGAAGAAGGCCUUCGGGUUGUAAAGCACUUUUUGAGAGGAUGAGGAAGGACAGUACCUCCAGAAUAAGCCUCGGCUAACUACGUGCCAGCAGCCGCGGUAACACGUAGGAGGCAAGCGUUAUUCGGAUUUACUGGGCGUAAAGCGCGUGCAGGCGGUUCGGAAAGUUGGAUGUGAAAGCUCCUGGCUCAACUGGGAGAGGUCGUUCAAUACUUCCGGACUUGAGAGUGGGAGAGGGAGGUGGAAUUCCGGGUGUAGUGGUGAAAUGCGUAGAUAUCCGGAGGAACACCAGUGGCGAAAGCGGCCUCCUGGCCCAUUUCUGACGCUCAUACGCGAAAGCUAGGAUAGCAAACG